GUUGGAUGUUGCGGUAUCGCCAAUCCUAGAUUGAUGGAUAUCAGACCUUGAAGACAGUGUCCUACUAUUGCCAACAUGUUCCUUGGUCUUUUCUUCUCCAGAACCUCCUUCCACAGACGACUGUUCAGACGGCCCAUUUUCUCCAACAAGAUUCGCAGUAUCUCUUGUUUUAUCAUUAAUAGAUGCUUGUACUUUUUCAAUACCCGCUGAAACCAUACAGUCGUCUUUCCCGUUAUUCCAACUAUCAAGUAAUGUUUUAGCUCUCUCUUGCACCUUAGAAUUAUUGUGGCCAAGGAGGCUCUUCACAGUCAGCCAGAUUCCAGAAGAUACAGACUUCUUAU
rnacentral:misc_RNA from 1 species